UACGGGGGGAGCAAGCGUUGUUCGGAUUUACUGGGCGUAAAGCGCACGUAGGCGGAUCGGUCAGUUAGGGGUGAAAUCCCAGAGCUCAACUCUGGAACUGCCUUUAAUACUGCCGAUCUCGAGUCCGGAAGAGGUGAGUGGAAUUCCGAGUGUAGAGGUGAAAUUCGUAGAUAUUCGGAGGAACACCAGUGGCGAAGGCGGCUCACUGGUCCGGUACUGACGCUGAGGUGCGAAAGCGUGGGGAGCAAACAGG
rnacentral:rRNA from 1 species